rnacentral:rRNA from 1 species
UACGUAGGGUGCAAGCGUUAAUCGGAAUUACUGGGCGUAAAGCGUGCGCAGGCGGUUUUGUAAGUCAGAUGUGAAAUCCCCGGGCUUAACCUGGGAACUGCGUUUGAAACUACAAGGCUAGAGUGUGGCAGAGGGGGGUGGAAUUCCACGUGUAGCAGUGAAAUGCGUAGAGAUGUGGAGGAACACCGAUGGCGAAGGCAGCCCCUGGGUCAAGAUUGACGCUCAUGCACGAAAGCGUGGGGAGCAAACAGG